rnacentral:pre_miRNA from 1 species
AUCAUCUAGUGAUCUUGUUAAAAUCCAGAUUCCCAUUCAAUAUGACUUGGGUGGGGCUUGAGAAUCUGCAUUUCUAACAAGUUUCCAGGUGAUGCUGA